GGGCAACUAGCUCAGUUGGUAGAGCGCCGCCCUUACAAGGCGGUGGCCGCAGGUUCGAGUCCCGCGUUGCCCACCA
rnacentral:tRNA from 1 species